CGCUCCUCUCGCACUGCUGCUAUGCGACAAAGCGGACACCUAGACCUCGGUGGAUGCGGCAGGAGCAAGUGGAGAUGUAUUAAGAGGAGAAAAAUUUAACGCUAAUAAAUAGCUAUCUUUUUAGGCUUGUAUUGAUCCGAUACCAAUACCAACGUUGGUCAAUAUCGUCGAUAUUAGAAUCGAUCAGUCCACAUGCUACUACGCUUGAAACAAAGGAAAGACUCGAGCAGAUCUUUUAUCAUAAACUAUCACUAAAGGACCAACUAUACCUGUGUCAGGAGAAAAGAGAGGAAACAUCACACUCACGUGUCAAUAUAAGACCAAUGAGAUUACUGAUAUUAUUUUAAACACUCGGUCAGAAAUCAUAGAAGUGUGUGAGACUGAAGAAUGUAAUGGACGAGUGUUUAAAGAAGGAAACUGUGACGUCGUCAUCAAGAAUCUGAUCUUCAGUGACGCUGGGAAAUACACUUUGAGAAUCUAUUACAAUAAUGAUCAGAGAGAGCUGGAGCGACAAAUCAGGACGUACCAACUUCAUAUUCAUGAUGAGAUUUCUGUGAAAACAGGCGAGGAGCUAAAGAUGUCUGUUCUGGUGUCUGAUGCUGAUAAAGUGAAGACAAACUCUAGUGGAGAGUGGAAGGAGGUUUGGACGAGAGCUCACGGGGUUCAGAGCGACCGAAUGAAUGAUACUGAUGGAAACCUGAUCAUUAAAUCAUUUCUGGACAGUGAUGCAGGAACAUACAGAGUUCUGGACACUGAAGGAGAAAUCUUGAUCACAGUCACAAUCACAGGUGAGAGAA